GGAUUACAGGCAUCAGCCACUGCGCCCGGCCAGAAAUAAACUUUUUAUGCUGUGUGGCCAUGUGCCCAAAUGAAAAUCAGGGGUUCCGUUAACACAGCAGAGGGGGAGAACAGAUGUUGAGGGGCCAUUACUGCCCCACACCUUAACAUCUUUCACAUCUCUCCUGUCUCCUUCUUUCUGCUGCAUUCUGCCUCCAUCUUCAUUUCAGAUUGUUUACUUUGCGUUUCUUUUUUUUUUUUUUUUUUUGAAAUAGAGUCUCGCUCUGUCACCCAGGCUGGAGUGCAGUGGAGCAAUGUUGGCUUACUGUACUGCAACCUCCACCUCCCAGGUUCAAGAGAUUCUUCCACCUCAGCCUCCCGAGUAGUUGGGAUCACAGGCACCCACCACCAUGCCAGGGUAAUUUUUUGUAUUUUUAGUAGAGAUGAAGUUUCACCAUAUUGGCCAGGCUAGUGUCGAACUCCUGACCUCAAGUGAUCCCCCCGCCUUGGCCUCCCAAAGUGCUGGGAUUACAGGUGUGAGCCACCGUGCCCAACUGGGUUCCUUUAGAGCAGCCAAAUCGCUAUCCUCACACAGAGAGAUAGAAGCCACAGGUAAGGGUUAAGGUGUAGGGAUUGCCCAGGCACAGUGGCUCACACCUGUAAUCCCAGCACUUUGGGAGGCUGAGGCAGGCAGAUUGCUUGAGCCCAAGAGUUUAAGACCAUCCUAGGCAACAUGACAAAACCCCAUCUCUACAAAAAAUACCAAAAUAAUUAGCCAGGAAUGGUGGCACGCACCUAUAGUCCCAGCUACUUGGGAGGCUGAGGCAGUAGAAUCGCUUGAGCCCAGGAAGCAGAGGUUGCAGUGAGCAGUGAUCACGCCACUGCACUCCCUCCUGGGUGACAAAGCCAGACCCUGUCUCAAAAAAUAAAAAAAAAAAAAUAAAAGAUGUAGGGAUUGAAGGAGACAUGGAGAUUUAUCAUCCUUCUAGAUUAUCUCUUUGGCCCCAGCUCCCUCCUCCAAUCCAUCUUUCACUUUGCAAGCUGAAUGUUCUAAAAAGCAAAUCUGAACACAUCAGCUGUCUGUUUCAGUGUGCUCCCAACACCAAACUGCUUGCUGUGCUCUCUUUUACACCUUCUUCCCAUUGCACAGGUGGAAAUUAUUUUCCUUGCCUUGAAAUUGCUGGGCGUUUUAUCUCCAGGGUAUUCCUUUAACCUAGCAAGUGCAUGGCCCAUAGUAGGUGUUCAACAUGCAUUUGCUGAUUGACUAACCUUAUUGUCAUCAUCCAUGUCUGUUUCUGAAUGUCCCAAGAACUAUCUGAACUCUUGUACCAGCUAGGUUCCCCAUGAAAGACUCAAUUCCUCCCAGGGAGGGGGUUGACCACUCUCAGUGAGAUGGAAAAGCCCAAGCAGAGGCCCCUUCUUCCUAAUCCCUUAGAAUAUCAGCUCUCUCUUCUGAUCACAAGAGACCUGGUAUUCAUGACGAUUGCAUGGGAAAUACUUAUAUUUUAAAAGUAUUCAUUGUUUAUCUGAAAUUCAAAUUUAACUGAUCAUCCUGUAUUUUAUCUGGCAACCCUAAUGUAGGGUUGAGAACCAUGUAGUAGGGAAUUGAACUAGAUAGCCUGUAGAACCCUCUCAACUCCAGGAAACAAAGAUUCGAAGAUUCUUUUUUAAAUUUGUAUUUACUUAGUUUUUUAGAGACGGGGGUCUCACUAUGUUUUCCAGGAUGGAUUAGAACUCUUGGGCAAAAAUGAUCCUCCUGCCUCAGCCUCCCAAGUAGCUGGGAUUACAGGUGCAUGCCACCACACCUGGCUCCUAAGAUUCUUCUAGUUUGCCUUAUUCCUUCCAGUGAAAGCAGAAACUCUUCUUAGGAUUAUAGUAAAAGAGUUGAGAACAAUAACUAACAGGUGAAUUAACAUAACAAAUGACAAUACCCCCUUACUCACUGUGUAACCUUGGGACAGUCACUUAACCUCAUUGAACAUCCAUUGCUUCAUUUAGCCAAUGAAAGGAAACCGAGAUUUUAUCUAAUAAAUGCCAGGCACUGUGUAGACACUUCCUUCUAUGAGAUCUCUUGCCUAGGACAAUCAGACAAAAUACUGUCUGAGAAGGCACUUUGUAUGUGGGAAUAGGCUGUAACAAAUGUAAAAUGGUGUUACCGUUAGUAUCAUAUCUGUCUGCAGUUUCUUUCUUUUACUGCCCCUUAGCAGGAAAGAAGCUUCCUUAGUUCCAUCAUAUUGUAGAGGAAGAAUGUCAUUGUCCAGGACUCUAGACUAUAGAGCAGUGGUUCUUUUUUUGUUGUUGUUGUUGUUUUCUUUUGAGACAGAGUCUUUCUCUGUCUCCCAGGCUGGAGUGCAGUGGCACAAUCCUGGCUCACUGCAACCUCUGCCUCCUGGGUUCAAGUGAUUCUCCUGCCUCAGCCACCCAAGUAGCUGGGACUACAGGCUUGCACCAUCAUGCCCAGCUCAUUUUUGUAUUUUCAGCAAAGAUGGAGUUUUGCCAUUGUUGGCCAGCUGGUCUGGAACCCCUGACCUCAAGUAAUCCGCCCGUCUCGGCCUCCCAAAGUGCUAGAAUUACAGGCAUGAGCCACUGCAUCCGGCCAGAGCAGUGGUUCUUCACCGGGAGUGAUUUUAUUUCUUGGGGGAUAUUUGGCAGUAUCUGAAGACAUUUUCUGUUGUUACAACUGGGCGGUGGAUGUUACUGGCAUUUAAUAGGCAAAGGCCAGAGAUACUGCUAAACAUGCUACAAUGCAGAGAACUGCUUCCCACAACAAAAAAUUAUCUGGGCUGGGUACAGUGGCUCACACCUAUAAUCCCAGCACUUUGAGAAGCCAAGGCAGAAAGAUCACUUGAAUUCAGGAGUUCAAGACCAGCCUAGGCAACAUGGCAAAACUCUGUCUCUACACUUAAAAAAAGGCUGGGCACAAUGGCUCACACCUGUAAUCCCA
rnacentral:lncRNA from 1 species